rnacentral:lncRNA from 1 species
AUCUCGCGCUCGCGACUUGUGCUGCGCGGUCGCGACUUCAGCCAGAAACACACUGACUCUUAGGGUGCACAAGUCGCGCUCGCGACUUUCACAUACGCGGUCGCGACUUGUGCUGUGACACUCUUUUGCCUUUCAUUUGCUAUGUAAUCACAUUCCUUUGCUCAACAUGCAUGCAUCCAAUCAUUUUACAACAAAAAUACAACAUAAGAACAUGGAUUAAAACAACAUGUAAGCAUUUAUAUGGUGUGAAAUCAAAUCAAU